rnacentral:rRNA from 1 species
AGCUCCAAUAGCGUAUAUUAAAGUUGUUGCAGUUAAAAAGCUCGUAGUUGGAUUUGUGGCGUACGGGAAGCUCCCGUCACUACUGGUGUCGGUGUGGCUUGUUGUUGCCAUCCUUGGGUGGAAGCUGUGUGGCAUUAGGUUGUCGUGCAGGGGAUGCCCAUCGUUUACUGUGAAAAAAUUAGAGUGUUCAAAGCAGGCUUAUGCCGAUGAAUAUGUUAGCAUGGAAUAAUAAGAUAGGACCUUGGUACUAUUUUGUUGGUUUGCGCACCGAGGUAAUGGUUAAUAGGAAUGGUUGGGGGUAUUCGUAUUUCAUUGUCAGAGGUGAAAUUCUUGGAUUUUUGAAAGACGAACUACUGCGAAAGCAUUUACCAAGGAUGUUUUCAUUAAUCAAGAACGAAAG